UACGAAGGGGGCUAGCGUUGCUCGGAAUCACUGGGCGUAAAGCGCACGUAGGUGGGUCUUUAAGUCAGGGGUGAAAUCCUGGAGCUCAACUCCAGAACUGCCUUUGAUACUGAGGAUCUCGAGUCCGGGAGAGGUGAGUGGAACUCCGAGUGUAGAGGUGAAAUUCGUAGAUAUUCGGAAGAACACCAGUGGCGAAGGCGGCUCACUGGCCCGGUACUGACGCUGAGGUGCGAAAGCGUGGGGAGCAAACAGG
rnacentral:rRNA from 1 species